rnacentral:lncRNA from 1 species
CAAAGAAUGCUCACACUGAAGCAUCAGGAAUGCAAACAUGAUAAAAAAUUUAAAAGUACCCUUACGAGAAAACAUUUUAAAAAUGGCAAUGACAGUAAACUGGUCAGGUUCUACCACAGACUGUUGGGUCUGCGGCUUCUUAUCAGGAGUUUUCUCACAAGAAGUUUUCAAACAGCAAAACCAAAAGGAUUCCUGGAACUACAGUGUUGAACACUAUUCAGUAAGUAGAGUCUCUGAACCAGAACAACCUGCCAUGGCACACACAUUUUGCUUCAUUCAUGCUUCCAGUGAUUCCUCUUGCGAGCUUUUUCUGUGCAUUUGGCCUAGAAGGACAGUUUGGGGUUGACAAUGAUGGUCCUGUUGAACCCAAGAGAUUCCAUUUUCCAAGCCUCUGCCUAUAAGGGGUUCUCAGGGCCUGCUGAGAUGUGUUCCAUCAGCACAGAAACCAUGAUGUGGCAUUCAGUAGAUCCAGGUUCCCAGGAAACUCAAGGCAAAAUAAAAUAGAACUGAACAUCAGUGAAUUUUGUACAACAAAAACAGCUUUUAAUAUGGAAUAGUCCAUGAACAUUUUAAA